ensembl:lncRNA
CCGAAGGAUGCAGCCGACGUUUUGGGACACAGCUACAGGGCUCUUAUGGAGAAGCCCAGUUUUCCACAUGUUGCAAGUCUCUAGUCGGAUGCUGAUGUUGGAUGUGUGGAGCAGUGUGGCUGCUAACUGCAGAUCAUGGUUUUAAAUGCAGAGAAGAAUUUGAUUGUAAGCUCUUAUGGAGAAGCCCAGUUUUCCACAUGUUGCAAGUCUCUAGUCGGAUGCUGAUGUUGGAUGUGUGGAGCAGUGUGGCUGCUAACUGCAGAUCAUGGUUUUAAAUGCAGAGAAGAAUUUGAUUGUAAGGUACACGAGGUUAAGGGUCUCCAUGCUGUUCUGACUCUCUUUGAAGAGACAUAAUGUGUAACUCAUGUAAAAUUGUUUGAAAAGGAAAAGGCAAAUGUGUUUGUAACGGAGCGGAAAGGCUGAUUUUAUUUCCAAGAUGUUUUGUGUUUUUAAAAGGAAGGAAACCUUUCUCAAAACGGGCAGAGCAGUGGAGCCGCCAAGGGAAAGCACAUAAUUUAAACUGUAAGAUUAAAAAUAUAAUUUAUUAUAUUUAAAUAGUUAAAAAUGUAAAAUGAAUUAAAACAACCUUGGCCAAGGGAUAACACAAUAAAAAUCAAUAAAACACAACAUUAAAAGUCCAGUGGGAUCCACCACGGCAUAAAAGUCACAAAAAACUAAGAAAUCCAGCGUAGUAGUAAAAGAGGGAAACCCAGUGGAGUCCUCGCCUUCCUCCCCGCAUUCCACGUCCCGGUGCACUGAAGGAAGAGAGGGAGCGGCAGUCACUAUUCCUUUCGACAGUUUUACUUUAUAAAAAGGGAUAAGUCAAAGACUUACCCCGGGUGGGCAGAGCUCUCAACUCCGCCCGCCGCUUCUUUAAAACUGCAAUCGGCACCAGCUGUCUCACUGCUUCUGCUCUCCCGCAGUGCACAAGCUGGCUCUUGUCGUUAUUGCCGUCUGACUGCUCGCUGCGCGUCCCUAGUCGCUCGUGGUGGCGCGUCCCCAGUCGCUGGUCAUGUCCCCUCUCGAACGCCAACUCCAACCCUCUUAUGUGUCAUUGAGCACUCUGUAAAUUACCUUGCCUUCCCUCUCAGGUGUGUCCAAUUAGUAAAGACGGGGGAAAGGGCGGAGUCUCUCCAGGACAAUUUGACGGUAACUAAAACAUGCAUAGUAGAAAAACUUAGAUAACUUGUCCCUUUCCACCCCGUGACAUGUUACUAGAAAGCUACAGAGGCUGCAAAGGUUGAAUUUCAUAUCACCACCACAGCACUUGGUUUAAUUGAUUUGGUUAUCCUACAGAGAAAGAGGAACUUGAAGAUAUUUGUAGCUUAUUUUAGGUUUUAGAAAUGUGCUAGAUAGGAUGUAGAAGUAUAGUAGAGACACUGACACUGCCCUGGAUGUAAUAUAGGCCUAAACGUGACAUAAACUUAGGAGUAAACUUGUAAGAGACCCUCCCCACCUUGAGCUGUGAAAACAGGACAAAGAGAAGCUAAAGCUGAGUGGAAAUUCCCCAGGGGAUACCUGGGUGGGGACCUAAAUGUUUGUAACUGGAUAACUUUGGCUUGAAAGGGAGAUGGACUUUUAUGACCCACAGGAAGUCACGUACACACAGGUACAUAAACAUAUAUACACAUGCACUUACACACAGGUACGCAGGCACUCGCGUGCUCGCACGCACACAAACAUACAAACACAGUGUUUAGUUUUAUGGCACAUCGUAUAGAAUGGGGGUCACUUCUAUGUCAUCUUGUUUUCUUUGUUGUCCUGAGGUUUUAAUCCUGUUUGAUGUUUAUUACGAG